AUUUAACUCCCUCGAUAAUAAAUGAGGAGGACUACUUGAGUAAAAUUAAUACACCUAAACUCACAGCAGAACAAAGAAACAAGCUAAAUACUUUGAUUACAGUUCAAGAAGUAGAGGCAGUAAUAAACAAGUUAAAAUCAGAUAAGAUGCCAGGCCCAGAAUGCUUUGCAAAUAUAUUCUAUAAAUCUUUCAAAAAUCUUAUAGCUUGCCAUUUAACAAAUAUGUUUAACGAAAUAG